rnacentral:rRNA from 1 species
CCUACGGGUGGCAGCAGUGAGGGAUAUUGGUCAAUGGGGGAAACCCUGAACCAGCAACGCCGCGUGAGGGAAGACGGUUUUCGGAUUGUAAACCUCUGUCCUCGGUGAAGAGAAUGACGGUAGCAGAGGAGGAAGCUCCGGCUAACUACGUGCCAGCAGCCGCGGUAAUACGUAGGGAGCAAGCGUUGUCCGGAUUUACUGGGUGUAAAGGGGGCGUAGGCGGCUUUGCAAGUCAGAAGUGAAAUCCAUGGGCUUAACCCAUGAACUGCUUUUGAAACUGCAGAGCUUGAGUGGAGGAGAGGUAGGCGGAUUUCCCGGUGUAGCGGUGACAUGCGUAGCGAUCGGGAGGAACACCAGUGGCGAAGGCGGCCUACUGGGCUCUAACUGACGCUGAGGCACGAACGCGUGGGUAGCAAACAGGAUUAGAUACCCUUGUAGUC